UAGGAAAGUCAUAAAUAUAUAAAUUAUAUUAUAUAAUUAAUAUAAUAAUAAAAUAAAUUAUAUAUUUUAUUUAUAAUAUUAUUUCUUUAUAAGAUAAAUAUUAUCUAAUUAAUAAUUAGAUUGAAUAAUAUUUAUAAAGAAAUAUAUAUAUAUAUAUAAAGUCAUUAUAUAAAUUUAAUUAUAAUUUAAAUAAAUUUUAUAUAAAUUAAUAUAAUAUUAAUAAAGUAAUUAGUAUAAAUAAAUAAUAUGAAAAUAAAACUUAAUAAAUAUAUAAAUAUAGUCCAUAUAUAUAUAUUAAUAAAAAAAAAAGUAAUAUAUAUAUAUAUAUUGGAAUAGUUAUAUUAUUAUACAGAAAUAUGCUUAA
rnacentral:misc_RNA from 1 species